UCCUACGGGAGGCAGCAGUGGGGAAUUUUCCGCAAUGGGCGAAAGCCUGACGGAGCAAUACCGCGUGAGGGAAGACUGCCUAUGGGUUGUAAACCUCUUUUUUCAGGGAGGAAUCAAUGACGUGUACCUGAAGAAUAAGCAUCGGCUAACUCCGUGCCAGCAGCCGCGGUAAUACGUAGGUGGCAAGCGUUAUCCGGAAUUAUUGGGCGUAAAGCGCGCGCAGGUGGUUUCUUAAGUCUGAUGUGAAAGCCCACGGCUCAACCGUGGAGGGUCAUUGGAAACUGGGAGACUUGAGUGCAGAAGAGGAAAGUGGAAUUCCAUGUGUAGCGGUGAAAUGCGUAGAGAUAUGGAGGAACACCAGUGGCGAAGGCGACUUUCUGGUCUGUAACUGACACUGAGGCGCGAAAGCGUGGGGAGCAAACAGGAUUAGAUACCCUGGUAGUCCACGCCGUAAACGAUGAGUGCUAAGUGUUAGAGGGUUUCCGCCCUUUAGUGCUGAAGUUAACGCAUUAAGCACUCCGCCUGGGGAGUACGGCCGCAAGGUUAAAACUCAAAUGAAUU
rnacentral:rRNA from 1 species